rnacentral:tmRNA from 1 species
CAGCUUGACGAGAAAAUCCGGAUUUCGAUAGAUGAGGGGGUCCGCAAGGACUAUGGCGAUAAACGCACCUGUAAUAGGCGGCUCGGACCCGGGGGCGGUACCCGGCGGCUCCACCACAAGAUCACCCGGACGGUGCUCUUCUGCUGGGGCCGAAACAGGAUCGACGAACGUUCAAAGAGGCCAGCUUUCGCUCGGUGAGGUACCACCGUUAUCGGUCCGAAACGUAGAGUUGCCAACACCAACGCUGCGCCGGUUCGCGCCCUCGCCGCUUAAGCGGUCUGGGUGAACCACCUGAAGUCCUGACGGGUCGCACCGGCAGGCGGGGCCCCGGGGAGCCUGGCAACAGAAUCCCCGGAU